AGUGAACGCUGGCGGUAGGCCUAACACAUGCAAGUCGAACGGCAGCACAGUAAGAGCUUGCUCUUACGGGUGGCGAGUGGCGGACGGGUGAGGAAUACAUCGGAAUCUACUUUUUCGUGGGGGAUAACGUAGGGAAACUUACGCUAAUACCGCAUACGACCUACGGGUGAAAGUAGGGGAUCUUCGGACCUUGCGCGAUUGAAUGAGCCGAUGUCGGAUUAGCUAGUUGGCGGGGUAAAGGACCACCAAGGCGACGAUCCGUAGCUGGUCUGAGAGGAUGAUCAGCCACACUGGAACUGAGACACGGUCCAGACUCCUACGGGAGGCAGCAGUGGGGAAUAUUGGACAAUGGGCGCAAGCCUGAUCCAGCCAUACCGCGUGGGUGAAGAAGGCCUUCGGGUUGUAAAGCCCUUUUGUUGGGAAAGAAAAGCAGCAGGUUAAUACCCCGCUGUUCUGACGGUACCCAAAGAAUAAGCACCGGCUAACUUCGUG
rnacentral:rRNA from 1 species